rnacentral:rRNA from 1 species
AGUGAACGCUGGCGGUAGGCCUAACACAUGCAAGUCGAACGGCAGCACAGUAAGAGCUUGCUCUUACGGGUGGCGAGUGGCGGACGGGUGAGGAAUACAUCGGAAUCUACUUUUUCGUGGGGGAUAACGUAGGGAAACUUACGCUAAUACCGCAUACGACCUACGGGUGAAAGCAGGGGAUCUUCGGACCUUGCGUGAUUGAAUGAGCCGAUGUCGGAUUAGCUAGUUGGCGGGGUAAAGGCCCACCAAGGCGACGCUCCGUAGCUGGUCUGAGAGGAUGAUCAGCCACACUGGAACUGAGACACGGUCCAGACUCCUACGGGAGGCAGCAGUGGGGAAUAUUGGACAAUGGGCGCAAGCCUGAUCCAGCCAUACCGCGUGGGUGAAGAAGGCCUUCGGGUUGUAAAGCCCUUUUGUUGGGAAAGAAAAGCAGCAGGUUAAUACCCCGCUGUUCUGACGGUACCCAAAGAAUAAGCACCGGCUAACUUCGUG